rnacentral:rRNA from 1 species
CAACGCCGCGUGAGGGAUGAAGGCCUCUGGGCUGUAAACCUCUUUUAUCAAGGAAGAAGAUMUGACGGUACUUGAUGAAUAAGCCACGGCUAAUUCCGUGCCAGCAGCCGCGGUAAUACGGGAGUGGCAAGCGUUAUCCGGAAUUAUUGGGCGUAAAGCGUCCGCAGGCGGUCUUGAAAGUCUGUUGUUAAAGCGUGGAGCUCAACUCCAUUUCAGCAAUGGAAACUACAAGRCUAGAGUGUGGUAGGGGCAGAGGGAAUUCCCGGUGUAGCGGUGAAAUGCGUAGAUAU